AAUAUUGGACAAAGGGGGCAACCCUGCUCCACCCAUCCCGCGUGUUUGAAGAAGGUCUUCGGAUUGUAAAGCACUUUAAGUUGGGAGGAAGGGCUUUAGGUUAAUACCCUGAAGUUUUGACGUUACCAACAGAAUAAGCACCGGCUACCUUUGUUCCAUCAGCCGCGGUAAUACAGAGGGUGCAAGCGUUAAUCGGAAUUACUGGGCGUAAAGCGCGCGUAGGUGGUUCAGUAAGAUGGGUGUGAAAUCCCCGGGCUUAACCUGGGAACUGCUUUCAUAACUGCUGAGCUAGAGUACGGUAGAGGGUAGUGGAAUUUCCUGUGUAGCGGUGAAAUGCGUAGAUAUAGGAAGGAACACCAGUGGCGAAGGCGACUACCUGGACUGAUACUGACACUGAGGUGCGAAAGCGUGGGGAGCAAAC
rnacentral:rRNA from 1 species